AAUGACAGGACCGGCUUUAAGGAACUGCUCCGCAUGACAGCGGAGGAAUUUGACUUCCUACUAUAACGGGUGGCACCACUCAUUACCAAGGAAGACACCAGGUUUCGGAAGGCCAUCAGUGCAAGGGAACGGUUGUCUGUGAUUCUACAAUUUCUGACAACAGGUGAAACUUUUCAAUCCCUGGGGUUCCAGUACUGUAUCGACAGCACAACAGUCUCACAAAUUGUCCUCUCGACGUGUGAAGCUCUCUAUGAAGUGAUGAAAAAGGACUACCUGAAGGUUGACCUGCAAAAGCCAUAUGCACACAGACAGCUGGAUCAUGACCAGAGAGCUCGGCGAGUAGUCGAAAAUGCUUUUGGCAUUUUGGCGAACAGGUUCCGGGUCUUCAGAACCACUGUCUGCCUGGAUCCAGAUAAGGUGGUGAAGAUAACCCUGGCAUCAUGUGUGAUCCACAAUUACUUGAGAGAGCGCAGGUCAGAAGCCUACACACCACCCACAUUGGCUGACUGGGAGAGUGCAGACCAUGAGAUGGUCCCAGGAGUGUAGAGGACAGAUGGCCUAGGGGCAUUUCAAAAUGUGGCAGCGUGCAUGGCACGCAAUCUUACACAAAGGUCCAAAGAGCUGAGGGACAUUAUGAAAGACUACUUCGUCUCACCUCAAGGCCAAGUUCCAUGGCAGGAAAGGCACAUAUAGUGUGUGCAUCAGUAUGAUUUAUCAGAGGUUCCCAACGUUUUUCCCCCUUCAACGGUGACCAGCUGUGA